rnacentral:misc_RNA from 1 species
GAUGAAGAACGUAGCGAAAUGCGAUAAGUAAUGUGAAUUGCAGAGUUCAGUGAAUCAUCGAAUCUUUGAACGCACAUUGCGCCCGUCAGUAUUCUGACGGGCAUGCAUGUCCGAGCGUCAUUUCAACCCUCAAGCACUGCUUGGUGUUGGCGGAUUGCGUGCCCUCGCGGCGCUGCAACCGCCCAAAUACGGUGGCGGUCCCGCUGCGGCUCCCUUUGCGUAGUAACUCACCUCGCACUGGACCGGGCGGCGGCCUGCCGUAAAACCCCAACUCACGAAAUGUUGACCUCGGAUCAGGUAGGAAUACCCGCUGAACUUAAGCAUAUCAAUGAGCGGAGGA